rnacentral:misc_RNA from 1 species
GAUGAAGAACGUAGUGAAAUGCGAUAAGUAAUGUGAAUUGCAGAAUUCAGUGAAUCAUCGAAUCUUUGAACGCACAUUGCGCCCGCCAGUAUUCUGGCGGGCAUGCCUGUUCGAGCGUCAUUUCAACCAUCAAGCCCCAGGCUUGUGUUGGGGACCUGCGGCUGCCGCAGGCCCUGAAAACCAGUGGCGGGCUCGCUGUCACACCGGGCGUAGUAGAUUUUAUCUCGCUCUGGGCGUGCUGCGGGUUCCGGCCGUUAAAAAACCCUUUUAACCCAAGGUUGACCUCGGAUCAGGUAGGAAUACCCGCUGAACUUAAGCAUAUCAAUAAGCGGAGGA